UAACCAGCUGCAGUACUUUUUGUGUGGUGUGGAAGUGUUUGUUUUUUGCAAUAGAUUUUUGUUGCAGUUUAGGUUUGUAUUUUCUUUGUUUUGUAGUGCUUAUUAUGAAGGUUCGUAGGUUUAUGUCUGUAGGCCAGGCAGGUCAUUAAACUUAACAAAGAAUAAGUAAGUCGGGAGAGGGGAAUAGAAAUCUCCACAUACAUAUUCUUAAAAGCUGUAACACUCACCACAAAGAUCUGCUGAGUGAAGUCUGUGAGACGAACGCACCAAGUCUGGACGCUCUGUCAGGCUACAUUUUACGUUUUUGGGAGUGAGCAGGUGUUAUUCUGUUCCCCGGGUUGGUUUUGAAGUCAUGGCUCUCAAGUAAUUUUUGUGCUUCUCAAAAGUGCUGGAAUUGCAAAGAUCAACAUCAAAAGCUACAAACUGGAAACAGAGGAAGAUACUAGCCCCGUGUUUCUGAUUCAGUAUCACUGAAAUACUUUGGAACCAUAUAAAGGGCAAAGUACAUUCCACAUGUUGAAGGACAGUGCCUGGCCCUGUGGGGUGUCAUCCCCAAGCUGUAGGCAUAGUGGCAACCCAGGGGUUCAUCUCAACUCCCAUCAGAGUUCAAACAUUGAAUUAGUUGUGCAAUGGAAGGAGUAUUACCAGGACCCAGAUGCAGCCCAAGGAAAAAAGAAAACAAAAGGAGACACACACAGACACCAGAGCAUGAUGCAAGUGUGGCUUAAUCGGUGCUUGCACAUUGGGCUUGUUCUUUCCAAACCUGUUGCCCCGAUUCUGCAAGGCUAUCCUGCUGUAGAAGGAGGCCCUGGAGGACAAGACACCAUGUGGGGAAAACAGCCAUGGGGAGCAGAACCGAGGUAUCCCAGCUUAGCUCCCAACUGACAGCAGCCACAUGAGUGAGCAGAAAAACAACUUCCAAGGGUGAUUUAGCUACUGCUGCUGUGGAAUGUCAAAACUUUCAGCAAGGGAGCCCGAUGCAGAUCUGUUGAUAUGACACCAUUCCACAAGAAGACCAACUGAUGGCUUUGUGGCAAGUUGACUACACUGGGCUGUUUCUAUUCUGGGAAGACAGAGAUUUGUUCUAAGAGGAAUAGGCAUGUGUUGCAGGCAUAGGUUGACCUUUCCUGCCAUGGAGCCUCCUCUGGUACCACUAUUUGAAGGUUGAAGGAAUGUUGAUUCACCAGGAUUGAGUCAGACCAGCCAAGCCUAUGACCAUGAUGUCAACUGACUGUAUCACCUGUCACAUCAUCCAGAAGCUACAGACUUAUAAGGCAUUGGAAUAACUUGUAGAUGGCCCCGUUAAAGUACCAGCUUAGAGGCAACACUCCAUGAGAAUGAGACAUCAUCUCCAGGAUGGCACAUACACAUUGAAUCACACAGCAUUGAUAAGGAGAUGGCUCCCCAGUAGGAAGAAUAUAUUGGUCAUGAACCAAGGGAUGAAGCAGAAGUGUCUUGCUUCCUGUCCCUGCAGCCUCUCUUUCUGCAGUGCUAGAAAUCCUGGUCAAAAGGGGGCAUAAUUUUAUCAGGGGACACAGCAAAAGUCUCCACUACAUUGCAGCUAUGCCUGCUGCCUGGGGAUUUUGGGCUUCUUAUAAUUGGGACCAGCAAUAAAAGAGAAGAGUCACAGUCUUGGCAGGGCUAAUUGACCCUGAUCAGCAGGAGAAGAAAGGCUGUGGUUCCACUAUGAGGGUAGGGAAGACGUGUGGCACCACUGAUCCACUUUUGCAACCCAUGGUACUCCCGUGGCCAGUUGUGAUGACAGACAAGUGCAGGAACACUUUUGGGAAGGGCAUGGUGGCCAGAGUUCAGACCCCAUGGGAAUGAGGACCAGGGUCACACCACUGGAUAAGCCAGGAGGAAGAGAGGCCCACUGGAAGGCUGGAGGAGCUGCUCCCCAGAUGUAGAUGAAGUAGAUUUGAGCAGCACAGUGGUGGACCUAGUAGAGGCGGACAUCAAGAUCCUCUUCAAGGAAAGAUUAUCAAUAUAGUUUUCCCUGACCCAGGUGCCAUGUGUUUUCUGUCAUAUUCACGUAUGCUAAUACAUAAUUGUGCAAGUGGGGUAAUAUCUGGGACACUUCAUGGUUCAUAUCAAAACACAGAGUGAAGAGAACAUCCUCUGGGCCAUCUCAGAGUGUGAGUUUGGGGCGGGGGUGGCUCCUGGUUAACAUUUCUGUCCACUGCAGCAUUCCUUUUCCCUUUUGCUUUUAGAUUCUUCCCUUGACAUCACACCAGGAAAGUCUGACAACUUAACUUUAUUGGAUAUAGGCAACCGUUGAAUCCAAGUUUUGCCCACUGAAUCCAUCAAAUUGUUACAGCCAAUUCUAGAUGCCUGAGUGGACACAUGAAAUCCAGAUUCCCCAGUAAGCGCAUCCCCAUUAAUAAACUGACCAAAUGCAAUGUUAAUCUGUUCUAUAACCUUUAGAAUCCAUCCCAACAUAUAUUUUUUAGGUUCCUGCCAAGAUAUGUUAGCAAAAGCUUGCAAUUUUUUGAAAAAUGAAUUAUCUCUUCCUGGGACAUGUGUUGUACUUUUCUCUCUGAAAUAGGCUGAGCUCUGACUCCAUUAAAAGUCUGAAAGCAAUGAAGAGUGAAGGAGCGGAUAUUGGGGAGAAUAGGCAUCCUCUUGCAAGAUAACUGCCUCAAAGUCAUUAUAAGGUUUUCAAGCAAGAGAAAGCUAAUUUCCUUACACAUAUGAAGAAGCGUUGCUUCUCCUGGCAAGAAAUACACAGUGAAUCAGGGAUUCAAAAUUCUUAGCUUUAUCUAAGUUUACCCAGAUGUGUCUAUCCUUCCCAAUCAGUGCUCUUGGCAGGAGACUUGGCAAGUCUGCGAAGUCAACUUAUGUUAUAAUUCUGCAACCCACACAAGUUCUUAUUUUCAAUGAGGGUAACCUUGCAGCCACACAAAAUAGCAAAAUUUUUUAAGGAGUACCAUAGACACACUCUGGUUCUCUGUGUUCAGUGUUUUAAGCCUAUCUUUUUGUUCCCCUGUAAGCUCUUCAAUGUAGUCCAAAAUACACCAUCUGUGGUAGGCAGAAUUCUAAGAAGGUUCCAAAGAUUCUCACCCAUGGUGUAGAGAACUUGUAUAAUUUUCUCCCCUAAAGUGUAGGUGGAGCCCGUGAAUAGGAUGGGAUAUUAAUACCAUGAUUGUGUUAUAUUUUGAGACAAAAAAAAUUUUGUAGAUGUAAUUAAAGGUACUAAUCAGUUGACUAUGAGUUUAUCAAAAGGGAGAUCAUCCAGGUGGGCCUGACCUAAUCAUAUCAGCCCUCUAAAUCCUGGUCUAUGGGUCAGAGAAAGAGGAAGGCAGAGAUUUAAAGCAUGAGAGAAAUUCAAAGCAAACUAGAUUCUCCAUUGCUGUCUUUGAAGACAGGCAGCCAUGUGGCAAGGAAUGUGGGUAGCCGAUAGUGGCCGAUGACAGCUCCCAGCCCACACUUCAAGUUUAGCCUCGUAGGGCCCUGAGCAGGGGACACAACUAUACUGCAUUUACAAC
rnacentral:lncRNA from 10 species